CAUGACUUGGGGUGCUUUAGUACCUAUUCUCUCUACAGUUUGGAAUCUCUUGACCUUCAUUUAACGCAAGAAAAUGACGCACAAAUAAUAUGUACUUUACAAGUGACAGCAGCUUUGAGAUAAUGCAGAAUAUUCAAAGUUUUGAGGCUGAACAAUUCUGAUGUGUCUUUUUGUAGAAGCUAACCAUCUCGUACCCCAAUGGUGUUUGCAGGCCUAGCGGGUCCAACUGUUCUGGCGACCGUGAUGGGUCGUGAUGAAUCUGAGGGGCUGCUGGCACAGGGGAAUGCGGGUUUAGAUCUGCCACGGUUAGAGGAGAGCCCCCAUGGUUCGCGGUCACAGAUCUUCGAGGCCAAAAACGACGACGAGGAAUCAUCUCAGCAGCAGUCUGACCCUUCCUUCACGGUCACCGCUGUCUGAUUGCCAUCCACCACGUGUGUGUGUGUGUGUCUGUGCCAGCCGUCACCACGGCCAUCGAACAAAGGAACAAAAGAAGGAAAAGAAACAUUCAGUGCACAGAAGAGUCCUUCCCACAACUAAGCCACGUUUUGAAUCACUCCAUCGUCGUAAAGCAUUACACCAGAAGGUCCAUUUGCUCACACCAUUCACCAAUAACACUGCAGUCCUUGCCGACUUCAGCAGUAUGCAUUCGCUGUGUCUUUUAGCGCAGCGCGUGAAGCUCCCCUUUUUCGUCCACUAGCACCCCAACAAUAUUUACAUUCUCAGGGUGCUUCAUUCAUUUGUUUGGGCUGCAACAAUAAUUGCCAUUGCUUGAAAACAUCAAUCAAUGUUAAGCAGUCUUGAUUGCUUUCAUUUCAGUAAUGUUGCCUGCAUGUGUGAGUGUUGCUGAGAGGAGAGGGGCCAUCACAAGAUGCUUUAUAAGGAAGGUGCACACAACUAGAAGGAGCUCGAUAGGGUACACCUCAGUAUGUCAAAGAACGUUCAGAACGUGGGCGGAGCACUGACACAGUUGCACAUUGCGGAAAGACGUCUCUGGAUAGUUGAUUGCGCCGCAGUGGUGUGCUGCCGUAGAAGCCAAUACUUCGGUUUUACUUCGGCGAUGGAAGUUUUAGUAACCUAUCUUUAUCUUCCUCUCCCUAUUACAGGUUUUACUUGUACAUUUCUUAAUUUUUCAUCAUUUAUGAAACCAAGAUCAUUUCUUCCACUUAAAAGCUUACUUAAGAUCACACAAGGUCAUAUCCGCAAAUUCUAGUUGAUAUUUUCAAGCGAUGUAUAUUUUAAAAUUUCUCUCUAGCUUUUCCACGCUUUCCCCAAUUUGGGCCUCAUUUUUACUACCAUCAUACACCUCUCACUGUGCUCUAACCGAAUUAAGGCUUAAUUUCUCUCAUUAAAGCUGAGCACUCGUUACACAAAAUGCAAAGUUUCAUCUUAAAGUCGACUUAACUUCUCCUUGCAUCGCCACACAGUUCACGCGUGUAAUGCGCAAACAUUACAUUAACCCAUUUAACGAAUCUGAAUGCAUUAGCAUCAAGUGGGCAUCAUAUGCAUUCACAAUAGUACGUCAUUGUUCGGCCACCUAGUGUUGUUGCUACAGUGGAACAUCUGUGCGAGCGACUGUGUCAAUGUUCCUUCUGGAUGGAUGUCUGUGUCAUCUACUAACCUCUUGGUCACGAAGCAAAAAAGAAACGUAGACUUAACACUCGACUUUAUACCAACUACCACAGUCACGACUUGAGUCAAGAGGUAAGCCGGGUGCGUUGUCGUGGGCAACACAACUUGCCACUGCGGGGCCACCACUUUAGUGCUCACUUUCGCGCACGCUUUACACAAAUCAGCAUCGACACUUUCCACUACCUUUAAGCAUAUUGUCAUCAGUGAUCGUUGUUUGUUGGCAGUCGUGUGCGUCCACUUUGAAAGUUGUCGCUAGGCGCCGAAAACGUCUCCAUGUUCCUCAUUACCUUUGGGCACAUUUUGUCACAAGUUUGCGCAUGUAAGACCUUGCGCAUGCCAUGCGCCUACGUAUGCAAUCCUUCAGUCAAAGCGGUUGUCAUCAACUUCUGUGUGGUUUGAAACGACUCUCAUUUGUUCAAAUCCCAAGAAGCAGUCGGUUUCGAUUAAUUUCAGUUUGACAAACUUUCCAUUCUGACACUGAUGCUGCUUCAAGGAGCGCGGUUGUAGGCUGUACAGGUUGUUGGCCACGUUUUCCUCUGUGGUUCUUGAACAAAUGGGAUUAUUGAAAGCGGGUGUCCCAUAUUACUUUAUGUAAGGAGGUUUGUUGGGUUGUUUUUCAUUCCCCAAAAGUCGCCCGCUGCGUCUCUGACAACCAUUUUGACUGGAAGCAAUUUUGACGUCUCCUUGAUACCCUAUGUGGGGCCCAUCUCGUCACAGUGCAAGUUAGCUUUGUUGUAUUUAUUAUGCUGCCGUGUUAUUUAUUUAAGGCAUCUGCAAACGACAGAUGCCCAUUGUAUUCACAUUGUUCUCGCUGAUUUUACCAUGUACUGUGAUGCUUUUAAAAAAAUAUGUGACGACAUCCCACGUAGUGCCACUUGCUCUGCGGUAUGCGAGGUUUCAAAGAGGCGUAGUUGAGCGUUUUUAUUUACGCUUCAAGCUUUUACUUGCUGCCAAUCGACGUAACAUUGGCUUCGACUGUACGCUAGAGGAACUACCCGUUGUGUUCUGUGGUUAGCUGUGCGAGGAACUGUUUCAAUGUUUAAAUUUUUCUCAGCUCAGGGAGGGCAUUGUUUGCUGCUAUCCAGUAUGGCCCACUCAUAGGGGGAACACUAAGUCUAUGCCAUUAUCUUCCCACAAAAAAAGAGUUGCAUAUGCACUCUGGUAACGUAUACUCUGCUGUGCUUUCCAUAUAAUUUUAACUGAGUUUAUGUGAAUUUCACAUAAACAGAGCUUAAUUUGUUUGAAUUGUAUAGAACAUGUCAACAUUAUUAGACUGCAUUUGUAGCACUGAAGUAGAGAGAUCAUAGCAUGGAGGCAUGAAGGCUGUUUUGCUAAUGUGUUCCAUCAACCUUUUCUUUAACUGAAGCGGAAAUGUUCCAUUUAUUGUUAUAUUGUUAUCAACUGGGUGUUCCACUUAAACAUUGGUCCAUAUUGUACCAGGAUACUGCUUUGCACGUUUGAGUAACUGUGCAUUUGUCUUCCAGAAGUUGGAAGCACGUGUGUUUUGUGUGUUAUGCGACCAUUAUUUUAAAACAUGGCUGUUUUAAUGUCUCGUUGUUCCCCAGCCAUAGUACGGAAAGGGAUAAGUUGAGUUCAAGGACGUGUUUUUAGGUAGAGUAUCUCUUUGACGGUUUUAGCUGCCACCUUUACCGUGUUUUAGUGGGCGUAUUUAUGUUUCGGACCACAACAACCCCAAGCAAUGUGUGUGUUUUUUUUUUGAAGUCUGAACAUUCAUACAGUGUACGUAUGUGUGUGAUCACCUGUGCAAUGUUGGUGGGCUGCCAACUGUCCCACUUUUUUUUUUUUUUUGACGUGAACAAUCCUUUUACGGCUGCUGUGGCUCAGCGGGAAAAAAUGUCUAGUCAUGUUAUGGAUGCAACAGCAUUUUAAAACUUUUUUUACAACGAUCAAUAAACAUUGAUUGACAAUGAA